AUGUGAAAACGACUCAUUAUGUUAGCCUGGGUACUACUAAACCGUACAAAGAAGCACAAUCGCUACGUGUCUGCAUCCACUUUCUCGAGCUACCUCGUUGCAGUACACACCUGCGAAGACAAAAGUGGCAAAGAUCUCUUGCCAGGCCGCAUUCUCUUUCGGGUGCUUGUUCAAAUCUGGAUGCUGCUUUUAUAAAUAAAUUGGUACUCUUUAAUAGUGUUGACCAGAGCCGCCGCAGGGACCUCCAUGGCUCCAUAUCCACGGCCGCUACUGUUAACCGAGGCGUUGGACAGGUAUGCUGGUUGCUUCUCCCACAGAAGCUUGGCGUGCCGGAUAUAAAUGAACGCAAGACCUACCUCACGUCACUUUCGAGGCACCACUAAUUUGUUCAACUGCCAUGCGACUCGCCGACCGGUCGCUAAAAUCUUUCUGGAAGCAACUUCUCCCAACCAGUCACUUUUGCAAGAAAAGUUGUCACACGACAGCUGCGACUUGCCAUUGUGAACGCGCCUCUAGUUCCUUGUGGUGGUGGUCUGUGUGCGGGAUAUGGACAGUGAGCUAAUCAGUCGCAUGAUCGCAGCAUUGCUGUGUCUGUUCAUGUCACCCGGGCAAGCAAAUUGACAAGUGAUGUGGACCCUAGCAUAGCCUCCUGUAUGCCUGUCAAGUGGUGUUCAAGCAGGAUACUUUAGAAAGUGCGAGACAGCGCAACUCUGUCAUAUGUCGUGCAAGAACCGCAUCCAUCCGUUUUUGUUGUUUUUUUUGUUUUGUUUUUUUUUGCCAGUGGGAAUGGUUCUUUCUGUCAAGGCACAUUCACACUGAGAGAAAAUGCAUGUUAAGUGGCAAGUUUUUAUUUAUCUUUUUUUUUUUUGCUUUUUGUAUUGAAAAGAUACGCUUGGUUUCCGGACGAAAAUGACGAGGAAAUACUCGCAGGCAACUCCCGUUUUUCCCGCACAAAGCAGACGAAACAGAGAGCAGGCGCCAAAAAUGUUGUGCAAACCAAAACCCGGUCCCUCUUUUAGUUUGAAAAUUUUUCUUGGUCUGGGGGAAGGCUCUAUUAUAAGAUAAGUGGCAUCCGGAGUACAAGAAGAAAACACUAAAAUCAAACACCUGGAAAAUAAUUGGAUUGGAAUUCGGCAUGAAAGUUAAGUUGAAACGUUUUCGCAUUGACUGAAGAUUACAGAAGCUGCUAAAGAGAAAGCAUGGCAGGAGAUCGCAUCCGUGCUGAACUCGCGGCAUCCAUCGACGCUACGCACUGUGUCGCAGAUAAAAAAACAGGGGCAGAACCUAAAACCUCGUAGCCGCGCAGAAUUGACGCUGUCCAAGAAGGCAAUCUCCACGACCGACGCAGGGUGUAACAACCACCAACUCGCACCGCUGGCUGAAGCUGUGCUGGCGGUCGUCGGUACCACGAGCCCCAAUCCUCUGGACAUAGAAGGGGGCAUCGACACCCACCAGGCCAGCGCAGCACCAGUCAGCCUGCAGUCAGCCACCAACGAGGUGGUAGGAGAGGAUCGAGUCCUCAGCUAUAAGAUUGACGUGGACCCCGGGGUCACCUUCCUCGAGGUGUCUGACGAAACCCAGGACUACGAGCCUCCGGACUGGCCGCUGGACAAGGAUGAGGUCCCCUUGGAGCCUGGUGCAGCACCUGCUCUGCUACGUUGGGAGGGGCCUCCUCCAGUGGCAGGGGGACCGCCUGAGGCAGCAGCUGCUGUUGAAGGGCUACCGGCCCCACUGGACCGGCGCCGGCGGGGACCACCUCGUCCACGAUCAGUCUGGAGGCCCAGCACACCGCCCGCAGGCUUGGCAACCAGCACUCAAGCUGCGGACAAGCAAUUCUGCAAGGACAUCCUGGCGCAGCAACAGGAGAAUGUAAAUCUAGAACGGCAAUGCCUUCUUUCCAAACUAAAGGCGUCGGAAGAGGAGGCGAGGGAGGCAAGGGCAACCUGUGAGGCUGCCGAAAAAGUUUUUAUUUUAGAAAGCAGAACAAAAAAAUGUUCGCCUUACUUGGGCAGCCUGAUCCACAACAAGCCCCUAAAGGUGGGGGGGGUCCUUCAGUUUGGCAAGGAAACUUUGCCAUUACAGCUUUACGUUGUAUAUACAAUAAACAUUUUUUUCUGGUUAGUUCUCUUCGCUAUCUUUUUGGUUCCAAGUAUGCA